ensembl:snRNA U2 U2 spliceosomal RNA
AUCGCUUCUCGGCCUUUUGGCUAAGAUCAAGUGUAGUAUCUGGCUUCACGACAGUCACUGCUGAGCGGAUACCGUUU